rnacentral:rRNA from 1 species
AUACGAAGGGUGCAAGCAUUAAUAGGAUUUAUUGGGUGUAAAGGGCGCGUAGGCGGAUGAGUAAGUCAGGUGAGAAAUUCCAAAGCUCAACUUUGGAGCUGCACUUGAAACUGCUCACCUUGAGGAUAGGCGGAGAAAAUGGAAUUCCACGUGUAGCGGUGAAAUGCGUAGAUAUGUGGAGGAACACCUGUGGCGAAAGCGGUUUUCUAGCUUAUUCCUGACGCUGAGGCGCGAGAGCAAGGGGAGCAAACAGGAUUAGAAACCCCGGUAGUCC